rnacentral:lncRNA from 1 species
GUUGCUUGGUUCUGUAGUCCAUCACUCGCUCAGAGUUGCGCUGUUGAACGUGUCAUCAGAACCAAGAAGGGGCCACUGCACAGAGAUGUGUUCCCGACAGAGCUCCGGAGGCUGCCACGAGUCAUCUUCCCAGUCCGGGGGAUGCUGCAGUGGGGGCAGCUCCUCCAGCUACCAGGCACAGGGCUCCUCCUGCUGCGGGGGCUCCUCGGGAUACAGCAUGGGAGGAGGAUACAGCGGUGGCAGUGGGGGAUCGAGCCAGAAGAUCAUCAUUAGCUCAGGAGGAGGAGGAGGAGGUUCGUCUGGAUGCUGUGGUGGAGGAUCCAGCAGUGGUGGGUCUUCAGGAGGCAAGAUAAUCAUUGGAGGAGGUGGAAGUAGUGGGGGAUCCUCUGGGUGCUGCAGUGGAGGCUCCUCGGGCUACGGAAUAGGAGGAGGAUACAGCAGUGGUGGUUACUCGGGAUCCAAGAGCAUCAUUGGAGGAGGUGGAAGCAGUGGUGGAUCCUCUGGAUGCUGUGGUGGAGGAUCCAGCAGUGGUGGCUCUUCAGGUGGCAAGAUCAUAAUUACUGGAGGUGGGAGCAGUGGGGGAUCCUCUGGGUGCUGCAGUGGAGGCUCCUCGAGCUACGGCAUGGGAGGAGGAUACAGCAGUGGUGGUUACUCAGGCUCCAAGAGCAUCAUUGGAGGUGGGAGCAGUGGUGGAUCCUCUGGAUGCUGUGGUGGAGGAUCCAGCAGUGGUGGGUCUUCAGGUGGCAAGAUCAUAAUUACAGGAGGUGGAAGCAGUGGGGGAUCCUCUGGGUGCUGCAGUGGAGGCUCCUCGGGCUACGGAAUAGGAGGAGGAUACAGCAGUGGUGGUUACUCAGGCUCCAAGAGCAUCAUUGGAGGAGGUGGAAGCAGUGGUGGAUCCUCAGGAUUCUGUGGUGGGGGAUCCAGCAGUGGUGGCUCUUCAGGUGGCAAGAUCAUAAUUACAGGAGGUGGAAGCAGUGGGGGAUCCUCUGGAUGCUGCAGUGGAGGCUCCUCGGGCUUCGGAAUAGGAGGAGGAUACAGCAGUGGUGGUUACUCAGGCUCCAAGAGCAUCAUUGGAGGUGGAAGCAGUGGGGGAUCCUCUGGUUGCUGUGGUGGGGGAUCCAGCAGUGGUGGCUCUUCAGAAGGAAAGAUCAUCAUUACUGGAGGUGGGAGCAGUGGGGGAUCCUCUGGAUGCUGUAGUGGGGGAUCCAGCUAUGGAAUGGGUGGAGGAUCUAGUGGUGGUUAUUCAGGAUCCAAGAGCAUCAUUGGAGGUGGAAGCAGUGGAGGUUCCUCUGGAUGCUGCGGUGGUGGCUCUUCUGGCUAUGGCUCUUCUGGCUAUGGCUCUUCCAGCUAUGGCAGUGGGGGAUCAGGCCAGAAGAUCAUCAUUAGCUCUGGAGGAGGAGGAGGAGGUGGCUCAUCUGGAUGCUGUGGUGGGGGAUCCAGCAGUGGUGGCUCUUCAGGAGGAAAGAUCAUAAUUACAGGAGGUGGAAGCAGUGGUGGAUCCUCUGGUUGCUGUGGUGGAGGAUCCAGCAGUGGUGGGUCUUCAGGAGGAAAGAUCAUAAUUACUGGAGGUGGGAGCAGUGGGGGAUCCUCUGGGUGCUGCAGUGGAGGCUCCUCGGGCUACGGCAUGGGAGGAGGAUACAGCAGUGGUGGUUACUCAGGCUCCAAGAGCAUCAUUGGAGGUGGGAGCAGUGGUGGAUCCUCUGGUUGCUGUGGUGGGGGAUCCAGCAGUGGUGGCUCUUCAGAAGGAAAGAUCAUCAUUACUGGAGGUGGGAGCAGUGGAGGAUCCUCUGGAUGCUGUAGUGGGGGAUCCAGCUAUGGAAUGGGUGGAGGAUCCAGUGGUGGUUAUUCAGGAUCCAAGAGCAUCAUUGGAGGUGGAAGCAGUGGAGGUUCCUCUGGAUGCUGCGGUGGUGGCUCUUCUGGCUAUGGCUCUUCUGGCUAUGGCUCUUCAGGCUAUGGCAGUGGGGGAUCAGGCCAGAAGAUCAUCAUUAGCUCUGGAGGUGGAGGAGGUGGCUCAUCUGGAUGCUGUGGUGGGGGAUCCAGCAGUGGUGGAUCUUCCGGAGGCAAGAUCAUCGUUGGAGGAGGUGGAAGCAGUGGGGGAUCCUCUGGAUGCUGCGGUGGGGGAUCCAGUGGGGGCAGUGGCGGUUCCUCGGGCCACACCAUCAUCAUCAGCUCCGGAGGAGGCAGUGGUGGGUACGGCCAGUCCUCGCAGCAGAAAUGCCCCAUUGUCAUUCCUCACAUCGAGAGCCACCAGACCAAGCAGGCCUGCUACUUUCCUGGCCAGCAGAAGUGACCGCCCCCGACAGCGCAGCACUCAGCAGGAACAGCCCUGCCUCUGUUUUCCAUGUUUGUCUGCUUCCCCACCAUGUGUCCUCUUCUCAAUCCUUGAUGCUCCAUUACUAUGCCAUGAACUCUGGGCUUAACAACCUUUUGCUCCGUGCUGGUGUUGUGAUUUCUUUGGUCAAAUUGUGCUCCAUUUUCAGUAAGGAUUUGUAGUACCUAAUAAAUAUCACGACAUCACAAUGUAGAUUUA